rnacentral:rRNA from 1 species
AGUGAACGCUGGCGGUAGGCCUAACACAUGCAAGUCGAACGGCAGCACAGUAAGAGCUUGCUCUUACGGGUGGCGAGUGGCGGACGGGUGAGGAAUACAUCGGAAUCUACUUUUUCGUGGGGGAUAACGUAGGGAAACUUACGCUAAUACCGCAUACGACCUACGGGUGAAAGCAGGGGAUCUUCGGACCUUGCGCGAUUGAAUGAGCCGAUGUCGGAUUAGCUAGUUGGCGGGGUAAAGGCCCACCAAGGCGACGAUCCGUAGCUGGUCUGAGAGGAUGGUCAGCCACACUGGAACUGGGACACGGUCCAGACUCCUAAGGGAGGGAGCAGUGGGGAAUAUUGGACAAUGGGCGGAAGCCUGAUCCAGCCAUACCGCGUGGGUGAAGAAGGCCUUCGGGUUGUAAAGCCCUUUUGUUGGGAAAGAAAAGCAGCAGGUUAAUACCCCGCUGUUCUGACGGUAACCAAAGAAUAAGCACCGGCUAACUUCGUG